UACGUAGGUGACAAGCGUUAUCCGGAAUUACUGGGCGUAAAGCGCACGCAGGCGGCUGCGUAAGUCUGACGUGAAAUCUCUCGGCUUAACCGGGAGCGGUCGUUGGAAACUAUGCGGCUUGAGGCGAUGAGAGGGGUGUGGAAUUCCCGGUGUAGUGGUGGAAUGCGUAGAUAUCGGGAGGAACAUCAGUGGCGAAAGCGGCACCCUGGCAUUAGCCUGACGCUCAGGUGCGAAAGCGUGGGGAGCGAACGGG
rnacentral:rRNA from 3 species